UAUGGCCAUAUCAAGUUGAAAUGUCGGUUCCCGUAAGAUCACCGAAGUUAAGCAACGUCAAGCCUGGUGAGUACCUAGAUGGGUGACCUCUUGGAAAUACCAGGUACUGUAAG